AAUGAACGUUGGCGGCAUGGAUUAGGCAUGCAAGUCGAACGCGUGUAGCAAUACACGAGUGGCGAAAGGGACAGUAAUACGUAGAUACGUACCCUCCGGCCUGGGAUAGUCCGUCGAAAGACGGGGUAAUACCAGAUAACGUCUCCGGACCAAAGGUGUGAUUCCACCGGUGGAGCGGUCUGCGUCCUAUUAGCUUGUUGGUGGGGUAACGGCCUACCAAGGCAAUGAUGGGUAGCGGGUGUGAGAGCACGACCCGCGUCACUGGGACUGAGACACUGCCCAGACACCUACGGGUGGCUGCAGUCGAGGAUCUUCGGCAAUGGGCGCAAGCCUGAUCCAGCCAUGCCGCGUGCGGGAAGAAGGCCUUCGGGUUGUAAACCGCUUUUGUCAGGGAAGAAACGCUCUGGGCUAAUACCCUGGGGUAAUGACGGCACCUGAAGAAUAAGCACCGGCUAACUACGUGCCAGCCGCCGCCGUAA
rnacentral:rRNA from 1 species